UCGUCAGUGAGGUAUAUCCUUACCUGUUACUCCAGCAAUGGAGUAUCAGAGCAUGAUGAAUGGAGUGCUAUGAGAUAUGAUUAGUAUCUCCACUCUUGGUGGGCGACACCAUCCAUCAAGAGCCAUUCUGAA